AGAAUCAACGCUGGCGGCGUGCCUAACACAUGCAAGUCGAACGAGAAAGUGGGAGCAAUCCCAUGAGUAAAGUGGCGCACGGGUGAGUAACACGUGACUAACCUACCCUUGAGUGGGGGAUAACCUAGGGAAACCUGGGCUAAUACCGCAUAAUACCUUCGGGUCAAAGGAGCAAUUCGCUUAAGGAGGGGUCGCGGCCGAUUAGUUAGUUGGCGGGGUAAUGGCCCACCAAGACUAUGAUCGGUAU
rnacentral:rRNA from 1 species